GGGGCUGUAGCUCAGCUGGGAGAGCACCGCGUUUGCAAUGCGGGGGUCAUCGGUUCGAUCCCGAUCAGCUCCA
rnacentral:tRNA from 2 species